AGUCCCGUGGUCCAACGGCGACGAUGCUUGGUUCACAUCCGAGAGACGAUGGUUCGAUUCCAUCCGGGACUAC
rnacentral:tRNA from 1 species